CUGAAAACUUUAACAUGUGGCUAGGAUUGAUCCACGUUUAAAUUGAUAUUUGAAAGGAGCAAGGGCAUGAUAGUCAUUUUCUAUGUUACAUUUUUGACAUGUAGUGAUGGGUUGGUGAUGUCUGCACACGCAGACUUUCUCAUCCCUUUACAACCUUCCUUCUUGUCAUCUUUUAUUAAUGCUUGUAGUACUUGUUAGACUUUCUUCUUCUCUCACAUCUUACUCUCACAACCUUCCAAGUUCCAGAUCUCUACUCCAUGGAUAUAAUCUCAAGCCAUAAUCUCAACUCUCAUUUCCAAGUUCUAGAUCUCUACUCCAUCUCUCUACCAACAACAUCACCUCCUCCUUCCACCACCACCAUCACCGCCGUAACCUACUUCCACCACCACCACCACCGCCGUAAAUAAUAUGUUAUGCUGUUUGAGUAUAAACUCAAAUUCGUUACUGGGCCGGAAAACUCUUUUUUAGCCCAAAUCUCGCCGAGUUACAAGUACGAGUUACAAUCAGGAACAUAAACCCAUCAAACAAACACAAACUACAUACGACUCCUGUUGAGUUCGACUUGUUUCUACUUUGGUCUUCCUUCCCUUCAAUCCCACCUAAAUUCCAAACUCAAAUCACAGAUGAGGAAGUUGUCGGCGGCGGCGGUGGUGGCGGCCGUUCUGGUGGUUCUGACGGCGAACAUGGGUGUUGUGUUGGGGAUCAGGUUUGUUAUCGAUAGGGAAGAAUGUUUCUCGCAUAAAGCGGAGUAUGGGUCCACUGUCAGAUAUUCGUUUGUUGUUAUUAAGGUUGAAGGUGCCUGGCAUUAUAAUGAAGAUGGUGUUGAUCUUGU